CUAACACAUGCAAGUCGAGGGGCUCGGGAUUGAAGCUUGCUUCAAUUGCCGGCGACCGGCGCACGGGUGCGUAACGCGUAUGUAACCUACCUAUAACAGGGGCAUAACACUGAGAAAUUGGUACUAAUUCCCCAUAAUAUUCGGAGAGGCAUCUCUCCGGGUUGAAAACUCCGGUGGUUAUAGAUGGACAUGCGUUGUAUUAGCUAGUUGGUGAGGUAACGGCUCACCAAGGCAACGAUACAUAGGGGGACUGAGAGGUUAACCCCCCACACUGGUACUGAGACACGGACCAGACUCCUACGGGAGGCAGCAGUGAGGAAUAUUGGUCAAUGGACGCAAGUCUGAACCAGCCAUGCCGCGUGCAGGAAGACGGCUCUAUGAGUUGUAAACUGCUUUUGUACGAGGGUAAACUCACCUACGUGUAGGUGACUGAAAGUAUCGUACGAAUAAGGAUCGGCUAACUCCGUGCCAGCAGCCGCGGUAAUACGGAGGAUUCAAGCGUUAUCCGGAUUUAUUGGGUUUAAAGGGUGCGUAGGCGGUUUGAUAAGUUAGAGGUGAAAUCCCGGGGCUUAACUCCGGAACUGCCUCUAAUACUGUUAGACUAGAGAGUAGUUGCGGUAGGCGGAAUGUAUGGUGUAGCGGUGAAAUGCUUAGAGAUCAUACAGAACACCGAUUGCGAAGGCAGCUUACCAAACUAUAUCUGACGUUGAGG
rnacentral:rRNA from 1 species